rnacentral:rRNA from 1 species
AAUGAACGUUGGCGGCGUGGAUUAGGCAUGCGAGUCGUGCGAGAAUCGUAGCAAUACGAGGAAAGCGGCGAAAGGGAGAGGAAUACGUAGAAAUCUGCCCUCGGGACGGGGAUAGCGGCGGGAAACUGCCGGUAAUACCCGAUAACAUCUUCGGAUCAAAGGUGUGAUUCCGCCUGAGGAUGAGUCUACGUCCUAUUAGCUAGUUGGCGGGGUAAUGGCCCACCAAGGCGACGAUGGGUAGCAGGUGUGAGAGCACGACCUGCCUCAUUGGGACUGAGACACUGCCCAGACACCUACGGGUGGCUGCAGUCGAGGAUCUUCGGCAAUGGACGAAAGUCUGACCGAGCGACGCCGCGUGCGGGAUGAAGGCCUUCGGGUUGUAUACCGCUGUCGUAGGGAACCAAAUUCAUGGGGGUUCUCCCCUGUGAUUGAGAGAACCUAGGAGGAAGGAGAGGCUAAGCUCGUGCCAGCAGCCGCGGUAACAC